GACAAGAAUUCCAUGCAAUGCAAUGUUGUUUAAAAGGAACAAGGACACGUGUUAGAGUGUAAGAGGAAUUAAUUAAUUACCUAUUUUUGCUUAGAAGAUUAGCAUCAUUGUUUUUCCCUAGCAAAUGGCUGUGUUCUAAAGCUACUAAGUGCCAAGGUAAGGAAGGUAGAAAGAAGUUUCUCUGCACAGUAAAAGUAGAUGAAGCAAAAGCUUUUUUAGUGUAUAUAAAUUGCCACUCCAAAUUGCUUUGUUGAUAUGAAUUUCUGCAACACAAAGUUUAUUAGUUUCUGAAGGUUGGUGCUUACGACUAUGUGUAGGAAAGGGUACAAGGCAGCUGCAAUUUCCGCGAAAUUUCCUUUUAGUAUGGUGUUGAACAAAAGUCACAAAAAACGGCGCAGUGAUGCCGUAGUUUUAUGUCCGUGGGUGUCGAUAAUGUUUAUUUCUUCUGGAACCUCUAGAUAUUUUUACCUACAGUUUGUUAUGACAUGGUUGAUACGUACCAAUUUAUUGAAGCUCAUGAAAUCAUACAGGAUGUACUUGGUGGUUCAGGACUUAUAAUUCAUAAAAGUUCAAUCGGGUGGA